UACGUAGGGCGCGAGCGUUGUCCGGAAUUAUUGGGCGUAAAGAGCUCGUAGGCGGCUUGUUGCGUCGGCUGUGAAAUCCCGGGGCUUAACUCCGGGCGUGCAGCCGAUACGGGCAGGCUAGAGUCCGGUAGGGGAGACUGGAAUUCCUGGUGUAGCGGUGAAAUGCGCAGAUAUCAGGAGGAACACCGGUGGCGAAGGCGGGUCUCUGGGCCGGUACUGACGCUAAGGAGCGAAAGCGUGGGGAGCGAACAGG
rnacentral:rRNA from 1 species